UCCAGGGUAGCCUAGUGGACAUGGCAUCUGCCCGGUAAGCGGAACACUGUGGGUUCGAUUCCCAUCCUUGGUC